AAUCGGCCACAUUGGGACUGAGACACGGCCCAAACUCCUACGGGAGGCAGCAGUAGGGAAUCUUCCACAAUGGACGAAAGUCUGAUGGAGCAACGCCGCGUGAGUGAAGAAGGGUUUCGGCUCGUAAAACUCUGUUGUUAAAGAAGAACAUAUCUGAGAGUAACUGUUCAGGUAUUGACGGUAUUUAACCAGAAAGCCACGGCUAACUACGUGCCAGCAGCCGCGGUAAUACGUAGGUGGCAAGCGUUGUCCGGAUUUAUUGGGCGUAAAGCGAGCGCAGGCGGUUUUUUAAGUCUGAUGUGAAAGCCUUCGGCUCAACCGAAGAAGUGCAUCGGAAACUGGGAAACUUGAGUGCAGAAGAGGACAGUGGAACUCCAUGUGUAGCGGUGAAAUGCGUAGAUAUAUGGAAGAACACCAGUGGCGAAGGCGGCUGUCUGGUCUGUAACUGACGCUGAGGCUCGAAAGUAUGGGUAGCAAACAGGAUUAGAUACCCUGGUAGUCCAUACCGUAAACGAUGAAUGCUAAGUGUUGGAGGGUUUCCGCCCUUCAGUGCUGCAGCUAACGCAUUAAGCAUUCCGCCUGGGGAGUACGGCCGCAAGGCUGAAACUCAAAGGAAUUGACGGGGGCCCGCACAAGCGGUGGAGCAUGUGGUUUAAUUCGAAGCUACGCGAAGAACCUUACCAGGUCUUGACAUACUAUGCAAAUCUAAGAGAUUAGACGUUCCCUUCGGGGACAUGGAUACAGGUGGUGCAUGGUUGUCGUCAGCUCGUGUCGUGAGAUGUUGGGUUAAGUCCCGCAACGAGCGCAACCCUUAUUAUCAGUUGCCAGCAUUAAGUUGGGCACUCUGGUGAGACUGCCGGUGACAAACCGGAGGAAGGUGGGGAUGACGUCAAAUCAUCAUGCCCCUUAUGACCUGGGCUACACACGUGCUACAAUGGAUGGUACAACGAGUUGCGAACUCGCGAGAGUAAGCUAAUCUCUUAAAGCCAUUCUCAGUUCGGAUUGUAGGCUGCAACUCGCCUACAUGAAGUCGGAAUCGCUAGUAAUCGCGGAUCAGCAUGCCGCGGUGAAUACGUUCCCGGGCCUUGUACACACCGCCCGUCACACCAUGAGAGUUUGUAACACCCAAAGUCGGUGGGGUAACCUUUUAGGAACCAGCCGCCUAAGGUGGGACAGAUGAUUAGGGUGAAGUCGUAACAAGGUAGCCGUAGGAGA
rnacentral:rRNA from 1 species